rnacentral:rRNA from 1 species
UACGAAGGGAGCUAGCGUUGUUCGGAACCACUGGGCGUAAAGCGCACGUAGGCGGAUGUGUCAGUCAGGGGUGAAAUCCCGGAGCUCAACUUCGGAACUGCCCUUGAUACAGCACGUCUUGAGUCCGAGAGAGGUGGAUGGAAUUCCUAGUGUAGAGGUGAAAUGCGUAGAUAUUGGGAGGAACACCAGUGGCGAAGGCGGCUACCUGGACCGGUUCUGACGCUGAGGCGCGAAAGCGUGGGUAGCAAACAGG